AGCUAAUACCGGAUAAUAUUUCGAACCGCAUGGUUCGAUAAGUGAAAGAUGGUUUUGCUAUCACUUAUAGAUGGACCCGCGCCGUAUUAGCUAGUUGGUAAGGUAACGGCUUACCAAGGCGACGAUACGUAGCCGACCUGAGAGGGUGAUCGGCCACACUGGAACUGAGACACGGUCCAGACUCCUACGGGAGGCAGCAGUA
rnacentral:rRNA from 1 species